UAUCCUUGCAGGGGAAAAGCUGGCCAUCC
rnacentral:piRNA from 1 species